rnacentral:rRNA from 1 species
CUUAGCAGAGAUGCUUUGGUGCCUUCGGGGAACUCUGAGACAGGUGCUGCAUGGCUGUCGUCAGCUCGUGUUGUGAAAUGUUGGGUUAAGUCCCGCAACGAGCGCAACCCUUAUCCUUUGUUGCCAGCGGCUCGGCCGGGAACUCAAAGGAGACUGCCGGUGAUAAACCGGAGGAAGGUGGGGAUGACGUCAAGUCAUCAUGGCCCUUACGGCCAGGGCUACACACGUGCUACAAUGGCGCAUACAAAGAGAAGCGACCUCGCGAGAGCAAGCGGACCUCAUAAAGUGCGUCGUAGUCCGGAUUGGAGUCUGCAACUCGACUCCAUGAAGUCGGAAUCGCUAGUAAUCGUAGAUCAGAAUGCUACGGUGAAUACGUUCCCGGGCCUUGUACACACCGCCCGUCACACCAUGGGAGUGGGUUGCAAAAGAAGUAGGUAGCUUAACCUUCGGGAGGGCGCUUACCACUUUGUGAUUCAUGACUGGGGUGAAGUCGUAACAAGGUAGGCGUAGCGAG